UCGAUAUAACUUGAUAUAUUUAUGUAAGGAUUUACUUUGUUUGGUUGUGAUUUAUUAAAUGGUUUAAGGAAUUAUUUAUGUUGUUAUUGUAUUUAUUUUAGAUAAAAUUUUUUUUGUUAUAGUUUAAUUAGUACUGUGAGGGUUAAUUAUAUUAAUAAUUUUAUUUGGAUUAGUUGAUUUUUUUUAUUGUACCUUGUGUAUCAGGGUUUAUUAAUAGGAUAGUAUUGACAUUAUUUUUCCCGAUUUAAGGAGAGUUAUUUAUUUAUUUUGUGUUAUUGUUAUAUAAAUAUUUGUAAUAAAUAAAUGGUAGUGAAAUAUUAAUCGUUCCUUAUGAUAUCUGGUUUUUUAAGAAAUAAAUUUAAUUUAUGUAUUGAUUAUUUAAUAAUUUUAAUUUUGUAGUAGUUUAUUAGUUAAUAUAAUUAUUCUGGGGGAUAAGCUUUAGGAUAGAUUUUUAUAAGUUUUGUUUUGAUUUAUAAAUGGAGUGGAUUUAAUAGUGAUUAAUAUUUUAAGGAUGUUAAAAUUUUAUUUGUUUAUUAUUUUAUUUGUAUUGUAGUACUUUGAAUUAUAUAUUAAAAAGGGGUAAUUAAUCAGUAGUUAGUUAUUAUUAUGAUAAAAUUAGUAUAUUAAUAUAAUAAAAUAUUUUUUUUUGUUUAUUUAAUUAUAAGGAAUUAGGCAAGUUAUAUGUGUUCGCCUGUUUAACAAAAACAUCUUUUCUUGAUUUAAAUAUGAAAUAUGACCUGCCCACUGAUGUUAAUUGAAGGGCCGCGGUAAUUUGACCGUGCAAAGGUAGCAUAAUCAUUAGUUUCUUAAUUAGAAGCUGGAAUGAAUGGUUGGACGAGAUACAUACUGUCUUGUAUUUAAAAAUGGAAUUUAAUUAUUAAGUAAUAAAGCUUAAAUUUUUUUAUGGGACGAGAAGACCCUAUAGAGUUUAAUAUUAAAAUUGAACAGCUUAGUUUGUUAUAUUUAUUGUUUUAUAAAGUAUUUUGUUGGGGUGACUGGAAGAUAAAUAAAACUCUUCUUAUUGUUUAAUAUUAAUUUAUAGUUAUGUGAUCCAUUAUUAAUGAUUAUAAGUUUAAAUUACCUUAGGGAUAACAGCGUAAUCUUUUUUGAGAGUUCAUAUCGACAAAAGGGGUUGCGACCUCGAUGUUGGAUUAAGAUAAAUAUUAGGUGUAGAAGUUUAAUAUAUUAGGUCUGUUCGACCUUUAAAAUCUUACAUGAUCUGAGUUCAAACCGGCGUGAGCCAGGUUGGUUUCUAUCUAUAAUAAUUUAUAAUAUUUUAGUACGAAAGGACCAAUUAUUAAAAAUAAUUUUUGUUGUAAUGAAUAUUAAUAAUAAUAAUUACUAUUUUGGCAGAGAAGUGCAAUGGAUUUAGAAUCUAUU
rnacentral:rRNA from 1 species